UGGAAAUCUCAGCUGAGAGCCAUGUCCCUUAUAGAGACUAAUUCCACUGAUCUCUACAGCACCAUUGUACCGGAGGGCUGUAACCACAGCUAUGUGACAAACAUGUGGAUGUGCAGCGUGAAUCCUGACAUCACAUGGAAGAUCAAACUUUUGCUGCAGUACCAGGCAGUAGACCUUGUAGAUGGCAAUGAAGAUGAGAUAUGGGCAGCAGGACCUCUCACAGGGUACAUCCCUGCUCUGCCCACUGACCUGAGAGAGACCUCACACAGCUCAGUUUGAGCUUCAGAUGUCUCUUUUUCCACCUCCAUGAGGUUGCUGUAUGGGAGCCAGCCGAGAUGUCUCCUUCAUGCUUUUGGUCUGGCAACCAGCUACCUUGCUGGAUCAAACAGCUUGGAGACCCAACGGUGGCUGUCAUCAGAUGGUGAAGACAUCACAGGCCAUUUCCUUUUCCUGCUCCCACUCAGCCUUAUCUGCACAUUGGUCAGAUGGACAGCAGUGCUCUGAAUGUGUAGCUGCUUGAGGGAAGUUCUCUCCUUCCCACGGCCACACACACCAGAGAUAACUCACAUCCAGAGUUGGAUGUGAGCCCUUGGCAGGGCCCCACAUGACAGGAAUCCAAGUUGUUUUGAGAUUUUCAUAGCUAUCUUUUCUGUGG
ensembl:lncRNA